rnacentral:ribozyme from 1 species
UUUACUUUUUUUCAUUCUCUCUUUUUUAUGUUCUUUUGCGUUAGUUCGAUUAGAAGAACGAACGGACGUGAUGAUAGACAAACGAAUGAGAAAACAAAA